rnacentral:tRNA from 1 species
GGAAGUAUAGCUCAGUGGUAGAGCGCACGCUUAGCAUGCAUGAGGUCCUGGGUUCAAUCCCCAGCACUUUCU